rnacentral:ribozyme from 1 species
AGGUCAAACAAUUUGUCUUUUUUUUUCCCUUUCCUUUUUCUUUUCUUGUUGUUUUCCUUUUUGUUUAUACCAGGUGUCGUGAAAAAUUAUUAAAAAA